rnacentral:rRNA from 1 species
GGUGAUUACUAAUAACUUUUCGAAUCGCAUGGCCUUGUGGUAAGCGGAUGUUUCAUUCAACAUUUCUGCCCUAUCAACUUUCGAUGGUACGGAUAGAGGCCUACCAUGGUUUUAACGGGUAACGGGGAAUUACGGGUUCGAUUCCGGAGGGGGAGCCUGAGAAACGGCUACCACAUCCAAGGAAGGCAGCAGGCGCGCAAAUUACCCAAUCCCGAUACGGGGAGGUAGUGACAAUAAAUAACAAUACAGGGCUUUCUAGUCUUGUAAUUGGAAUGAGUACAAUUUAAAUCUCUUAACGAGGAACAAUUGGAGGGCAAGUCUGGUGCCAGAGCCGGGGUAAUUCCAGCUCCAAUAGCGUAUAUUAAAGUUGUUGCAGUUAAAAAGCUCGUAGUUGAAUUUCAGGCUUGGUUAGACGGUCGCCCUUUGGGUUUGUACUGUCCGGCCGGGCCUUACCUUCUGGUGAGCUGUCGUGUAGUAUACUCAGAGCGGAAGGAAACCAGGACUUUUACUUUGACAAAAUUAGAGUGUUAAAAGCAGGCUUUCGCCUGAAUACAUUAGCAUGGAAUAAUACAAUAGGACUUUGGUUCUAUAAAGUGGUUACUAAGGACGAAGUAAUGAUUAAUAGGGAUAGUUGGGGGCAUAA